UCCCGCCACCGGGAUGCUCCGUGCUGCGCCGAGCCAAGCCGAGCCGUGCCGUGCCGUGCCGGGCGGGCCGCCGGGUUGCGGGGUGAGCCGGAGGAUGGAGCAGAUGCCGCGGCUCAGAGCUGGACAGGCGAAAGAUGACCUUGGGCCGCUGUGAGAGACAAAAUACUUACACAUUCAUUUCUUCAGGCCCACAGUGUAGGCUGCAGGAAGACACGAGCUCACCCUGCACUGAAAAAAAAGGCUGUAUGCCUUCAGCAGAUCUGGAGCUCAGGAAUCACGCAGAGAAACUGGGUUUCAGCUCAGGCUUGAUGCCACCGCAGCCCAGCUGUGCUGCUUUCUGGAGUAGAGAGUGAGCAGACUCCCAGCUCUACAGCAGCAUGAGCACACUGAGAGCCUUCCCUGCCUCCCUCCUCACCACCUUCCCACCACUGCUUGGGGUUUUCAUUUUUUGCACGACAUCUUGUUAAAUCUGCACCAGAUCCCAAAUAAACACCCAAAACAGCUAUGUGGAAUUAUCCUGGAUGUCUUUCCAAGCUUUAGGAUCUGUCAGCUUCUGGCUGCUUGUAUCACAGAAGCAGAUGAGCUGAGAGCCAGCACCGCUUCCUGGGAUAUGAGAAUGUAUUUGUUGGGGUAGCACAUGCUGAAGGGGAAAACGUGCCUCAUUCGAAGUGUGAGCUUUUCUACAAACCCUGGAUGCUUUGUUUUUUCCCCUCAAACCAUAGCUGCAAACAUCACACUACAUUUUAAAUGGAAAGCGGAUGUUCCUGCAUACUAAUUCCUUCAGGCUCUGUUGUCCUUUCACAGAACACAAUGCCCAUGAGAAAGAAGAAAGCAAACACAGAACAGGUUGUUUCUUCUGUCAUUAACUUGGUCCACACUGAGGUGAACGGGUGUCAGUACUUUGUAAAUAUUAAAGUAUCACAGCCCAACUAACAACCUUCAAAGUCCACAAGUGGAUUAGACAGCAGGGUUGCAACGUCUUGAUCAUGAGCACCAUGACUUUAAGACAACCCCUCUAGGAGUCAGCUUCCCCCAGGCCCAGAGAUAACGUGAUGGAGAAGGCCAUAUUCUCUGCUCAGCCUUUUUGUCCACCUUUCGUGCUGAAGGGCAGAAGGCAGCUGAGAGGCAGAGAGAUGAAGCGCUGUGAUCACACAGAUUAAAGAUGAUGAUAAAUAUGGGAGUGGAAAGCAAGCUCUGCAGGCACGCCAGCUCCAAGGUCAUUGCCAGCUCCAACUGAAGGGGAAAACGAACUGCCACCAGAGGAAACGCCUGCUCCUCUGCCAAGCUGCCACCUCCGGCUUUAUGCUGGAAAAAUGAUCAAUAGCAGCUGGCAGCUUUUGGUUCUGCGCAUCCAGGAACAUCUAAAGACAUUCAUGACUGAAGAUCAGUCGACUAUGUAAAGCACCAAACAACUCCUCGGGAUCUGCAGCCGCUAAAAAUACAUCUGAGUAUUGUCCAUGUACCCCAGGAGCCACACAACCCACAUUAUCUCCAAAGGGAAGCGCAGGCAAGGCAGAGCGACAGGAAGGAGCAGGCCACAGCAGGGUCCAGCUAAUUAAAGACACUGGUAAAAAGGAAACCCAAACAAAUCAAAGGAUGCAGAAGACCAUCCAGACAAAGCUUUUGCAAAUGGACACUUCAGGGAGCCAGCACUGCAGCUCAGUGGGCUAAAAGAGGUACUCAUUUCUGUGGGCAUCAGCUGAAGAUCACAUCAUGGGGAAUAUAAACAUGGUGAGAUCAUUCUGUUCUGUUGUCGAUACACAUUUAAACCAGAAGAUAAAACAACAGCAGAGCUUAGCAGGACAGAGCAGGACAGCUCCAGCUGGCUGGAGAGAGACCAAGGAAGGAACAGACUGCAACCAGCUGAAUGAUGCUGUUCAAGAUACAGAGCUGUAUGCAGGGCACUUGCCCACAAUAUUCUGGGCCUAUGCCAGUGCAGUUAAGUUCCUUCCCACACAAUGGUUUUGUGGGUUUUCAGGUUUUUUUAUUUUCUGAUCCUGAUCCUUGAACUUCCCAUGGCCCUCCCACGGGAAGCUCCUCUCCCCCCCUUGGAACCCCAGAGAAACAGAGAGGAAGCAUCAGCAUCCACAUGGAGGAAGGCCAGUGAAGCACAGGGCACAGCCUACCACCCAUCACCAACUGUGAGCCAAGGGAGAGUCAAACUUCCCAAGGAAUUGAAACCUUUCUGCAAAUUCAGUCUUGUCAGCCACUCCCAAAGGAAACAAGGGGUUAAAACACUGACUGAAAGGGCAAUGGUAUUUACAUAAGAAAGACCAGGAGCACAAGCCAAGCCUGUAUCAAUAUUAGCAAUGACUAAUUCAAUCUGUCAAUGGGAAGAAUUAGAGGAGCUUUGGAAUAUGCCAGGGCUGGUACAAAUCCUUCAUUUCACAGACAGUCAACACCGAAAAGAAAAAUAAACCACGAAAGCAGCAAAAAUAUCAAAAUCCAACUAGUAAGCACAAGCACCUCCAGCACCUUGUUCAUCCCAGGAUUCAAAAAAUUCCUCCAUUGCUUUAGUAGGAACAUAAUGAACCCCAUGAAUGCACUGCUCAAGGCAUGGAUAUGCCAAGAGUUUUGGCAGUAGCUCCAAAACCCCAAUGGUCCAUUUGCUGCAUCCCUUUUUACCCCCACUCCAAAAUUUUCUGGUGAAAUAUAAGGCCAAAAGAUUGCAGCAAGAAUGCAGCAACCUGCUUCCCUUGGACAACUAAGUUUUAAUACAUGCUCAGAUAUUAACUUACUCUAAGUAAGCUGUUUUCUUUUGCUUUCCUCUGACUCCCAAUACUCUACACUGAAAUUAUAUAUUAAAAUUCAAUUCCCAUAAUGCUGUAUCUUUGGAAAAGAUCUUACUGUGAAAACAGCAUGGAAGUCCAAAACCAGUUUAUUACAUUGCUUUUUAAAAUGAUCUUUUUCAAUAGUUUUUUUUUAAUCAUACUGUUAUAAAUCUGGGUUAUCUCCAGUUCACCGCUGAAACACAUUAUCAACUUACAGUUUUCCCUUAGCUAAUCAUGAAGCAUAAGCAACACUUUGCAGGUUCAAGAAGUUAUGGAGAAAACCUCAGUAAGUUUAUCAUAUAUUCACAUUCCAGGUAAUAAAAUUAAUUAUAAACACUUGCACAUACAUUUUAUGCAGUUCAGGCAAAAAAAGAUGCCGAGAUUGGAAAGCAACUGGAAUCAGCAAAUGUACCUUUUGAACUGGGCUGUUUCCUCUACUUUUUUUUUCCCAGAAGAAAAGUGUGUGAUAAAAAAAAAAUCUAUUCUCCUGGUUACCACUCAAAUGUUCUUUUUUUUUUUUUGCAUUGGUAAUACAGCAGCAUUAGCAGUGCAGUCAAAAAUAUAUUUGUUUGCUGAGCUGAAUUUAGAUUGUAUCCUGUUUUGUGACAGAAAGCCCCAGUAGUGCAAAGUAGAUAUGUCAGCUUAUCUAGACAGGAGAGGAGAACCCUCCUGCAUAUGAUACCCAGAAGUCUCCCUGAAAAAAUGAUACUCAGACAGGUGAUAAGAAUAUACAAAAGCAGGGUCUGUAGAAUAGCUUGUAUCACCUGUACCAGAAGCCCUCCUACAUGCAGAUUAUUCUGUCUGCCUCAUGAGGACAGACAGAGCCUGUGUGUAUGACACCAAGUGAUAACCUGUGACUGAGAGCACAGCAGUGCUCUCAGGGCCUGGCUGGCCUGGAUGUGAGCCAAACCAGCAGAGAGGCCCAAUUUUGGUCAAACAGCCAGUGCCAAAAUUUGCAUUAGUUAGAUUUGCACAGCACCAUUGAAGGAAGGAGAUGGCUGCAGUGCAGUAGGAGGCAGAAUUUGGUGCCAGAUCUCAGCAAAUGACAAAACCAAAACACGAAGUGACUCAGUACAGACAAACCUUUUCAGCAAAAUAUUUCCUGUGUCUUGCUGUCAUCAGCAGGAAUGGAGAAAUGCCAGUCCUCUCCUAGAGAGCGGGGGGAAUGGGAGAUUGGGCAGCUGAUAGCAUUUGAAGAUCUCAGCACCUCACUGCCUACAUACCAUCACUGCACUUGAAGAUGAACAUCCUCCUUUGUGUCACACAUGGCACUUGCUUGCAAAAACAACCACUUAGUCAAGCAGCAGACCGAGACACGUCCCCUAUCCAUCAUCUCCACGGCUUCAACUUGCAGAGACAGGGAAAAAGAACAGAGUGGAAAAGGACAAUAUAGUCUGAAAAGUUACAACGUGAAAGUGUCAUCACCUCAUCCAGCAUGCCUGCUCCUUGCAUUGUUUUCAGUGAGAGGCAGGAAGCACAGUACUUUUCUCCGGUGCUAGUUCAGCAGAGCCCCUCUGGGGGGUCCCCUGGAUCCUAUUCCUUGCCUGCAGGAGAGCUCGCCCCCAAGAUGAGGUGACAUGGUCUGGCAUCCUCUAUGGCUCAGUAUGCCAAAACUAGUCCCCUGUCAUAUCCCAAGAAGAUAUUAAAGGAUAGCCCUCAGCAAACUGAGUAGUGCUCAGCUGAAUCACAGAGAAACCACAGAUCUGAAGCCUUCACCUGUAAUGCUCACAGAAAUGCUUUUCUGAAUGAACCUUGCUUCUAAAAACCAGAUUAACACAUUGGCAAAACAGUGAUGCAGAAAAGAGUGAUUCAGGCACAAAGGUGGAUGUGCAGCUUUUUCUGGUCUUUUUUUUGGUAUUUGUGAUGACAGAAGCCAUAACUUCAAGUAAACAUCUAAACAUGCAUUGUAUAAUGCAAUAGAAAAACUGAUGCUCAUUAUCUCUUGUGCAAACCUAUGGCAAUGCAGGCUAACAAGUGCGCAGGGUGCCUAAUUAAAAAUAUCAAUAGUGUUAAGUCCUAAUAUCAACUGUUAGUACAGGAGAACAGUAGUAAUGUCUAGGCACUUUAAAGUUGACAGAGAAUUCAAGAGUGCUUUCUCAUGCUGCUUGAAAAAUAUAUCAUCCAGUCUACAGUGGUAUCAAAUGCUUAUUUCUAGGACUUAGAAACACGAUAAUAAAAGGGAGAGGAUGUGAUCUGCAUGCAGGUUAGCCUUUCUGUGAGCUAUCUGCGUGUGAGGAAUAUUUGCAAACUUCAUUAAUAUAAAUAAGGGGAGGAAGAGAAGAGAGAGUUUAACCCAGAAGAAAACAGCAUCAGAAUCAGCCUGUGAUGAUUAAGCUUAUGACAAAAUCAGCAAGACAACGACCAAGGAAAGGAUUUUGUAGGUAUUCCCACUGCUUCUCGCCAGGGUUAAUUAUUUGGAUGUAGAAAACGCAGGACAACCUGGAAAGACAAGAACUAAAUGUGCUUUCCAGGCCUUGCCACCUUUAAUACCCAUGACUGCUGACACCAAGCAGCCAGGUUAAAGCACACAUGCCCCGUCAGAGCACAGCGCUUGCCACGGGAUAGCUGUUUUCUGCUGGCUGAGAACAAGGUAAGACAGCCCUUUGUCCCAGGAUCUGCAAGUUGCCCUGGUAACCACUAGGACUCCAGCAGCGUGUGCCACCUGCAGACCUGCGUCCCCUGCGAUUCCUUCAUUUCCUGCCAGUGGCUUUGCUCCUCCUCUCCGCUGCUGUUCUGACCCAUGGAAAUCCAGCCGAUCAUCUCCUUGCGCUUCAUGCUGCGCCUGUUGUAUAUGGAGAUCAUCAGGGUGACAUCAGAGAGCUGGAAGAGGGCAACCUGGAAGAUGAAGGUUUCCUUGUAGACAGGGUUGGGUUGUCCUCGGCGGAUGGAGGUCUUGCAGCGAGACAUCUCCUGACCCACAGAGUUGCGCAGGCAGAGCUUUCCAUAGGUAUCUAGGACAGAAUAAAAGAGGAGACAAUACCUCUGGCACAGGUAACAGACUAAAUGGAAGCCCCAAGUGGUCAAAAAACACCCAAAACCCCUCCAAGUACAGCAGCUUUGUCUGCAGUGAAUAAGAGACAAGGGCUGGACAUCCCUCCUUGGUAAAAUCCAUGGGAUGAGAAGCAGCAGAUGAAAGCACCUCUUGGAUUUUCUCAUAUUAAGCUGUGGAGAAAAGGAAACUGAUGUGUGUUUCAGCCCUACUCUCUUGGAAAGAGCAGGGUACCUGGUAUCCAGUCCUAACAAACCUGUCUACGAUUAACUGAAACUAUGAGCAUCUCUAUGGAUUCUCCACAUCAAAUGGUGUGUUUCCAUCUUCCCUUCCUCUCCCUCACAAUCAAGCUUCAUUUGGGCUCUCUUACCCGGCUUUCCUUUGACUGCCCUUGUCUCUCCACCACUCUCUUUUGGAAGAAUGCCUCUGUGACCUAUUGUUUGAGAUACCAAGCAAAAGGAUCUUGAAAGACAGGGAAAAGAAACCUGCAUACACAGUGGAAUGAUUUAUCUCCCAUGAUAAUUUCAAGUUUUUUCCAAAUUCUCAUAUUACUUUUUUGGUGGACUCAGGGUCAAUUUUAUUCACUAUCUAAAUCAAUACAAGGAGUAAACAUGUCUAGGAAGGAAUGGUCCAAUUCAGUGUUCCUGUAAAUCUGUUCUUUAAACUCUUGCUGCCUCCUGUAUUAAUUAGUUCACCUCUGCUAUGUGCUUGUUAAUAUUGUGGUCUCAGAGCUCCCAAUGCUCCACAGAUCCAGCUCAGUGUAAGUUUUCACCUUGCUCUGCAUGUGACAGUGACAGAUUGCUUGGCUAGACAAGUCCUCUGCUAACCCCUUCAUAAUCUGUGCCUGGGUUCCUGCAAGUGAGUAUUAUUUCAGAGUGUGCUGAAGAUAGGAAAUAAAUAACAAGCCUCCUUCUCUUGUCUACAGCAUUUCUAUCCUCUUCUGUUCCCGUUUGAUGUGCUAUUUUACGCACUUAUCUACUGAGCAACACAAGGUGUGAAAUUACACUUCAGGUGUGAAAACACUUCUAUGUCUCCAAAGCAGGGCUUUCCACUCCUCUCAAACUGUUCCACUGAAAAAGCUGUCAGGAGACUGACAAUCAAGGAGCAAAUUGUGAGCCUGCACAGCUGUACAGCUAUCGAGUUACUGCGGGGAAAGUUCAGCCCAGUCAUUAGCUGGGGGGGCCAGCUUGGCUCCCAGCGUAACACUGGCGAUGAAUUAGAUCUUGCCAACAAAGACCUACUUGUUGCACAGAAAAGCAGAGCUUUGAUUUAAUUUCCUGAUGGUAUCUGGAAAGAAAAAAAAAAAAAAAAAGGCAAAAAAAAAGCUUUAGUAAGAGGUGGACUAAUUUCCACCUUACUAUUCAGUGUUGGUGGUGCUGAGGGACUGAAAUCUGUAACAACUUCAGAUCCAUCAGAAGCACAAAGCCCAAGAGAGGACUCUCUCUUCUACCUCAACUCAAUGUGGAACUCUGCAAGACAACUACCAGACACAACUCUUGCAGUGUUUGUAGAGAUGUCACUUUGUUUUGGACUGGCAAACCCAUUCCUCAUGUGUGAGUCCUGGCUGCUGGUCUAGGCUGCAAGGAACUCCCUGGAAAUAAAGAUAAGUGAGGAGAA